UAAGGAAUAUUGCGCAAUGGGCGACAGCCUGACGCAGCGACGCCGCGUGGGGGAUGAAGGUCUUCGGAUUGUAAACCCCUUUCGGCAGGGAAGAUGGAACGGGUAACCGUUCGGACGGUACCUGCAGAAGCAGCCACGGCUAACUUCGUGCCAGCAGCCGCGGUAAUACGAAGGUGGCAAGCGUUGUUCGGAUUUACUGGGCGUACAGGGAGCGUAGGCGGUUGGGUAAGCCCUCCGUGAAAUCUCCGGGCCUAACCCGGAAAGUGCGGAGGGGACUGCUCGGACUAGAGGAUGGGAGAGGAGCGCGGAAUUCCCGGUGUAGCGGUGAAAUGCGUAGAGAUCGGGAGGAAGGCCGGUGGCGAAGGCGGCGCUCUGGAACAUUUCUGACGCUGAGGCUCGAAAGCGUGGGGAGCAAACAGGAUUAGAUACCCCCGUAGUCCCUGAG
rnacentral:rRNA from 1 species